AGGACGAACGCUGGCGGCGUGCUUAACACAUGCAAGUCGAGCGGAAAGGCCCUUCGGGGUACUCGAGCGGCGAACGGGUGAGUAACACGUGAGUAAUCUGCCCUUAGCUCUGGGAUAGCUCCGGGAAACCGGGAUUAAUACCAGAUACAACCACUUUAGACAUCUGUUGUGGUGGAAAGAAUUUUGGCUAAGGAUGAGCUCGCGGCCUAUCAGCUUGUUGGUGGGGUAAUGGCCUACCAAGGCGACGACGGGUAGCCGGCCUGAGAGGGCGACCGGCCACACUGGGACUGAGACACGGCCCAGACUCCUACGGGAGGCAGCAGUGGGGAAUAUUGCGCAAUGGGCGAAAGCCUGACGCAGCGACGCCGCGUGGGGGAUGAAGGCCUUCGGUUGUAAACCCCUUUCAGCAGGACGAAGCGAAAGUGACGGUACCUGCAGAAGAAGCGCCGGCUAACUACGUGCCAGCAGCCGC
rnacentral:rRNA from 1 species